GUCCCUGUAGCGCAAAGGAUAGCGAGUUGGUUUUCUAAUCCAAAGGUCGUGGAUUCGAAUCCCACCUGGGAUG
rnacentral:tRNA from 1 species